AAAGUACUCCUUUCGUUCGGAAAUACUUUUCAUAAAAAUGGAUGUAUCUAGAUGUAUUUUUAUUCUACAUACAUUCACUUUUAUCCAUUUUUACGACAAAUAAUUCUGGACGGAAGGAGUACAAG
rfam:Hordeum vulgare subsp. vulgare, WGS project CAJW01000000 data, contig: morex_contig_143672